AGUAUAAUAAAAAAUACCAAAUACACAAUUACAUAAUGUUGUACAUGUCGGGAGCGGCUGGUCGCUUGCGAUCGUGCUUUCGUGGUUUCUCUCUCUGACUCUACACCAUUCUUUUGCCGCGCGAGCGUCCCGUUUCACCAUAGCGGUGAUGGCAGCGAGAGAUGGAGAUUCGUGUGUAAAUCGUGUGUUUUACAUCCGUUUGUUCAAGCGGAUACAUUAAAGUCAACCUUGCCGGCGCGAUGUAUGCAUAUUUGGUGACGUCGCGAUGCGAUGUGUGUUUCAUCACGAUAGUAUGGAACGAGUUUUCAGUUAGUAAAACCCGGAGCGACGUGUCUCGUCGUCGUGUACGAUGUACGAUGUAUGUAUGACACGUAGCACCCCGCAGCUCCUGCAGCGCUGAUCGAUAAAUGAUAAUAUAACGAUACACAACAAGGAUUCUCAAGUAUCGAUCGUUUUUGUAAGUUACUUGUUAAUUUUUUAGCGUGCCUCGAUUUAGUAGCUGGCAUGUAAGUCGCAGUGAGAGAUAGAGCAGGACGACAGAAAGGCGCUCAAUGCUAAUAGAACAUCCAAAAAAGUUCCACUUUAACACGAGAAGAGAUACAUGUAUCCAGGACAGAGGAAUCACAAUGGAAGUUCGAGAGCCGAAUCUGCUCUGUGUCUGGAGGUACGUUUAACAGCGUCGAGAGCACAACGUGUAGCUUGUGUGCACAUUAUUUGCAUACCACAUUAAGGAUAACAGAGGGACAAACGACAGCCAUCAGAGCUCACUCCAAAUGCCACAUCGCAGCGCUCCUCGAAAAACGAAAGAGAUCCCUCCGAGAUGUUAUUGUUGUUGUACGAGCCAUUUUAUUAGCGCCAUGGUAACAUCGUACAAGUGAGAAAAGCACAGUGAUCGGGAUUUAGCUUAUGGAUAUUAAUGCUCGUGUUAUCUACUCUUUCGAUGAAGGAGCAGCUCGAACGACUUACAUCGGAUCGCAAAAUACAAUAUAAUUUCCAAGAAAGCAAAGGUUUCUUAAAA